rnacentral:rRNA from 1 species
AUUGAACGCUGGCGGCAGGCGUAACACAUGCAAGUCGAGCGGAGAGAGGUAGCUUGCUACUGAUCUUAGUGGCGGACGGGUGAGUAAUGCUUAGGAAUCUGCCUAUUAGUGGGGGUCAACAUUUCGAAAGGAAUGCUAAUACUGCAUACGUCCUACGGGAGAAAGCAGGGGAUGUUCGGACCUUGCGCUAAUAGAUGAGACUAAGUCGGAGUAGCUAGUCGGUGGGGUAAAGGCCUGCCAAGGCAACGAUCUGUAGCAGGUCUGAGAGGAUGAUCAGCAACACUGGGACUGAGACACGGCCCAGACUCCUACGGGAGGCAGCAGUGGGGAAUAUUGGACAAUGGGCGGAAGCCUGAUCCAGCCAUGCCGCGUGUGUGAAGAAGGCCUUAUGGUUGUAAAGCACUUUAAGCGAGGAGGAGGCUACUUUAGUUAAUACCUAGAGAUAGUGGACGUUACUCGCAGAAUAAGCACCGGCUAACUCUGUGCCAGCCGCCGCCGUAAGAC